AGAGAGGGAGAGAGAGAGAAUCCCAAGGAGGCUCUGUGCUGUCAGCGCAGAGCCCAGCGCGGGGCUUGAACCCAUGUUCCGCGAGAUCGUGAAACCAAGACCCCGAGGCCUAACCGACUGAGCCACCCGGCGCCCCUCUUUGGGUUUUAAAUUGUAAACGUAGCACAUUUCACACGAAGAGACGCAUCUUUCCUGCUUGGCUGAAAAUUCCGGUUGGAGGGUGUGGAUUCGGAUGUUUUUGUGUUUGCCAAGUGUUAACUUGCGGCCAGUUAAACAGUGUUCCUGGAGGCAGCAAGGGAGGGGGAGACAGGUCCCCCUUCGAGACUCACGGGCUCGGGUCCAGCAUGCCCAGCCUGCAACCUGGGCUCAGGGGACAUCGCGAAGCCUAGAACAGCAGGAGUCCCCACGAGCCACAGCCGCCAGGCUUGGUGGGCUUCUCGGGGCCACCUGACGACAGUUCUGAAUUUCCCCCCACUCUGCGCCACACGUGUUUCAAACCUCACUCUAGAAUUCUCCCAGCUGUCCCCCUGCCCUCCUCAGCAGGUGGCCCCAAGAAAAUGUCACCAAGGCAAUUUCGCCAAGAAAACAGAAGCCAUCAGGACGAAACAGUCUUCACUCUUGCUAGAAACCCUUGCAUUUCGCCUACUCCUUCACCCCUCCCAGCCUUGUCCUCACAGGACACACGGUGAAGGCACAUACUGUUUUAUGAUGAAACAUUUUUUCCUACAUUAAUAUUGAUGUCAGCUUAAUAUUCCAUUUCGCAAACGUACUAUCAAUACUGGGAUCCUGGUUAGGUGUUUACAACUCUCCUUCAGAACAAGCCCGGAUUUGUAGCGUUCGCCAAUUUCCCUGGUGCAAAUAUUCCGGACCACCUCCAAUUUCAAGAUUGCCUUUUUCCUUUGUCGAUGGUUGCUUGGACUGUGCAGAAUCUGACACCUUAUGGGCCAAAAAAGUAAGAAAGGGCUCAAAGACUGAUGGGAAGAGAAGCAAAAGACAUCGGAUCGAGCUGGACGGGCUCCCACUGGAUAGAUCUGGGACGAUUUGUAUAGCAAAACAAGAAAGGUAAUAUCAGAUUGUAUCCCACUGAACAAAAAAGGAAUCCGUGAGGUCAUGAUGAUAUAAAUAAAUGAAUAAAUACGUAAGUGGAGGAGAAAAGGUGCCUUUUCUAUAUAGUGAAAUGCCAACUAAUAAUAGACAUUUAUUGAUAAAUAAGUACCACAUACUUCACAGUGGAGAAACCUGGUGGAAGCUUUCUAAAUCAAGUGGUGAAGUUCAACAUCCUCGGUGGCACCACGUGACUUCCGAUAUGAUGCCCCGAGGACACGUUAUCUCACGUCUCACUUCUGGGAGAUUCCUGCUCCAGUGGCAUAACCCGAAUGGAAUCAUGAGGAAACAUCAGGAAACCCACAACAAGGAACCGUCUGCCGGGUGACUGUAGCGUUCAAAAUGCCGUGGUCAGUAAAGACAAGAAAGGUCUGACGAACGGGUAGAAAGCCAUCACCGCUAAGUAAACAGUGAUUCUAGACCCUGGGACUCUGAAGGACAAUAUUUGCAAAGCGGGCAAAAUCGGAAAGAGGGUUACAGCUGCCAUGAUGAUAUUGUGUGAGUCAGAGUUUGCAAAUGGAAGGAUUUAAACCCCAACGCUGGAUCCUGGUUCUCCAAAUGAACCGACUGAUAGCGCGAGAGACGUGACAGGUCCUCUUUGGCGCCCCCUGUGUCCUCCACCUCUGUUUGCUGUCCCUUUCUGCUCCCGGUCUCCACCCCUGCAGACCCCACUGAACAGUUUCAUCUCAAGGAACCUCCAGCCCGAAAAUGAAGACUUUAGACAAGGUGCCCCGUGUGCCCUUCAAAGGAACACUCCAGGAGUCUUCUGGGGUCGGGCCUCCCCUCUCUGGCAGCCCGUCCACAGACAGAUGGGGGAAGAGGGAGGCAAAAGGCAACUAAGCUGACAAAGAGGUGCAAACCCUGGAACGGAACGCAGAUGCAAGUAAUGUAUUUGCAGCGGAUCCCAGGAGACACUGCAGGGGAGGGGAAAGGGGGCCAGGAAAGGGAGCAUUAUAGAGCCACUCCUGCAGAAGGUAAGUGGCACCCAGGCCCCCUGGGGAACCCAGGGAGCCCCUCAGAGUCACCCCAACUGUGGGGCCAGAGGGUUGAGGAAACCGGGCACGUAUCCAUCACAUCUCUGCCUGCCCGCCACUGGCUGAGGGCCGCUUCUCUUUGGCUUUUGUGGCUGGAUAUCAUCCCCAGGAGAUUCUCCACCAGCGCACAGGGCUGGGCAUUUAGGCAGUGGCCGUGGCCCUAGAUGUAGUGGGAACAGACAGGAGUGUCAGGAAGGUGCACACCAUGGUCUUCUAACCUUGACUUUGCCUCGGCCUCUGUUUCCUUAAUGGGGCGCCCCCUGCAGCGUCAAACCCCGAUCUGGCCUGCUGACCCUCCUCCUUCAUGUCCCAUGCUGCCUUUCUGGGUCUCAUCUGCGACAUCUGAUGCUGACGCAGCCGUUCCCACUUCUCCUUUCCUGUCUCAACCUCAACAUCCCGAAAUCUUAUGUUCUGUUUGACCAGGACGCGGUAAGGCCAGGCUCCUUGCCUGCGUGGAGCCUGCGCGUCAUUGAGGUACGCCUUUCAGGGUCAAGUGCUACACCUGUAGGUGAAUUUCCGGGGGAGGGGAGGGGCUGGCAGUGCUCUCUCUGCCACCCAGUCCCAGGCCACGCUGUCUGCCUACUUGGCAGAAGAGAUUGCUUCCGACCCCGGGCCCCUCUGGGGACACCAAAGACAGAUUGACGGGCGUCUCACAGAUGGACACGAGGGCCUUUGGGGGACUCUGGUGGCCCCUAGGCAGUAGCCUACCCUUGCCCCCUCCACACCACUGCCUUUUAUCCCCACCUCGUCUAAUCUCCUUCCCUAGCCUCUCUCUCUACCACCCCUUCUUCCCCAGGCAGUCUUUUCUCCUCCUUAAUCUCCACCUCUGCUCUCACGCCUGGUAGCUCCCAGGCUGUCUUGCCCCACAAAGUGCUGCCAACCCAGCCUGGCAAACCAGAGGAAGUAGGUCCAGUAAUCUGUCCCCUGCAUUCUGCCCAGCUGCCCUCUUGUGCUGGGUCAUGUCCCGUCGUGAAUGAGGAUGUUGGGCACGACCAUGACCCAGGACAGACGAGAAGCCACCCUGCCUGGAUCACCCAAGAGGCCACCUCCUCCCUGCAGCCCUUCCCACUCCACUCUCUGCAGCCAGAAAUCAUCCGGGAGAGGCAGGUGCGGGGGCUCUGAGGGGCUUAUGGGUUUUUUUUUUGUUUUGUUUUGCUUUGUUUUGUGUUUGCAGGGGUGGGGCUCGGGCAUGAGCAAAAGCUGCGGAGCGUCUUAAGGCCUGGCCUCAGAAGUCACCUCGUGUCACCUCUGCUGCGUUGUGAGGGUCGAAGCACGUCACCGAGCCCAGCCACAGCCAAGGAGUCGGGAGAUGGGACACGUUGGUUUAGUUGGAGUGGUGCAGUCACGCUGUGGAAGGCCGUGUGCCCCAGGAUGGGGUGGUGGGGGGGCCUUGAAACUGUAUUUUACCCUCCACCGAAGUACACGUCUCCUCCAGUCUCUGGCCAAGGGCUUCCUUGAACCCUCUCCCCCAUGGCCAUGUCUUCCAUGCUCCUCGGCCACUCACGCCCGUGACCCUAACUCCCGGAUCUCGCCAUCAGAGCAACCGCGGCCCCUCAUACCUUGGCUCCCGGCACCCCAGCCUCUGACCCCACUCCCACCUCUCCUGCCAUUCGGCACCAACAGGUCCUUGACCCCAGUGGGGCUGUGGGUAUGUCAAUUUUCUACAGACCGUCAGCCUCCUUAUACUGCCCACCAGCCUGACCCCACGGGCCAUUGCUCCGGUCUCCGUCCCCCACCCCCUUACCUCCACCCUCAGCUCUCAGGCUCUUUUCUGACCUCGUGGUGUCCACCCAGCAAAAUCCGGCCUCGGGCACAGCCAGCCCCACGCCCGCACCCACGAAGUUGAAUGCGGCUGGAGGGAACCCCGCAGGCGUCCUGCGAGAACUGAGUUGUAACCCGCCGUCGGAAGGCGGGGAGGAACGAAGAGGCGAUAACAACCCUUCAGACCUCAGAUCUGAGCCGUGGACGGAUCUUAGGCGUGCGGACCUCUCCCCUCCUCCUUCUAGUCCGAGAGCCGAAUCCGGGCACUGGCUCGCGCUGGCUCUUCCCUCCCACCGCAUUCACCACAUGUCCACGAAGUACACCCGAUCUCGGUCGCGCACUGGACAGUUACGGGGCUCAGCGGAGCUAGGCAGGGCCGGGAACCAGCGCGAACUCCAGGGUUGGUCUGGGGGCUGGCCGCACCCGCAUCACGUGGGAGCUUGUUGAGAAGAAAGGUUCUCAGGGCCUCACCCCGGACCUGCAGAAUCAGAAUCCCCGGGGGCGGGUGUCGGACCCGGAAGCUGUGUUUGGGGCAAGCCCUCUGGUGCCUCUUAUUUAUGCUGGAGUUUGAGGAUCGUGUCGAGACACUUGCCGAUUAGUGUGUGACACCAAGGCCCGGGCGCUCGUCCAAAACGGCAGGCCCUGGGACCUCACCGCGGGCCCCCUGAAAGAGAAACUGCGUUUUCACCGGGGCCCCCCAGGGAUCUGUCACGGGCCCAGGGGCUGGAGGUGGCCGAAGGACGCGUCCCAGGGCGUAGACGCUCAGGAAGCCUUGGGUGACUGGUUGUCGCACAGAAGGAGCACCCUCGCCGGGCUGCCCAGAUAGGUUCCACUUCCCGGGCCCACGCUGAGGCUCAGCGGGGACGCCCUGGGGCCCGACCUCGCAUCUGGUCCCUACGCUGUAUUAGCGAGGCUGAGGGAGAGUCGCGCCUACCCGUCGCCAGUGGGGGUAGAAAUCCGGUCCCCCUCCCCGGAGGGCUCUUUGGCCAUGUCUGCCGCGCCCCAGGCUGGACGGACGGAGCAAAGGCCGUGUGCCCUGGAUGCCGCCAGCAGGAAGGCCCUGGUGGGGAAGGUACAAUGUCUCUGGAAGGAAGCAGGAUGAACGGCUAAUAUUCCUGGUCCCUGGGGAGGGAAGCAGGUGCGCCUGGGGGAGACACCAAGCCCGAGUUUUCACUGUCUGUUACUUUGUACCGCUUGGCUUUUGUACCAAGUACAACUGUUACCCGCCUGGUG